UGUCUGCGUUACUCUGCAGACAGUUACUCCUGUGCUGUAAAAGACCAUACAGUAUAAUAGAAAAGGUAUAAAAUGCCUGGUAUCUUACCUUGUUAUAACGUUUAAAAAAAACAUAUAUUUUUUUAUCCAUUUUAGAAUAAGUCUGUAACGUAACAAAAUGUGGAAAAAGUCAAGGGGUCUGAAAACUUUCCGAAUGCACUGUAAGUGUCUAUUUGUUUUUCCUUUUAAAUGAACCAGUCCAAUACAUUUAAAACACUUAGUCUCAUUAUCGUUUGAGGAAUUGAUCAGAUACAUUUUGUGUCAGAUGUUUGUUGUCAGAGCGGUUUGAAUGUGACUCACACCAAGAGGAUAUCUGAACAAAUGAACAAGUGGGAGUCUGGAGUUACUGCAGAUCUAAGCCAGGACACAGAGUGUGCAGGUAGUGUGAAGUACCUUCCAACUACAGACAACGACUCCACCCUGAGAAUCACAGACCUGAGAGAGAGUGACUCUGCUGAAUACAAGUUUAGAUUUACAACAACUGAGGUAAAAUGGGGAUACAGAUUACCUGGAAUAACUCAUGUCACAGGUAAUACUGUCCUUACAGUAUUAUAUAAUCUAGUCUGUCAUAUUAUUGGUAGAAAUAAUGAUGAUUGUGCUAUUUUGUCUUCAUUUACCCCUUUUCAGACUUGCAGGUGAAGGAGACUCCUGGCACAGAGGAAGGGAAGGUGACACUGACCUGUAGCACCACCUGUACUCUAACUGACAACCCCACCUACAUCUGGUACAAGAACGGACAUCUCACCAACCCAAACACCCAAGAUAACUGCCUCUCCCUAGACCAAGUCAGCAGUGAGGACGCAGUCUGCUACUCCUGUAGUGUUAAAGGUUAUGAGAAUCGCUGUUCUCCUGUUAUGUUCGUUGGGUAACCAAAGUCUUUGAAGAAUGCAGUUGUAGGAAUCAUAGUUGUUCUCAUUCUCAUACUCUGUGUCUUUGGGGUCAUGUGGUUCAGGAAGAAGGCCUCCAUAUCCACCUCUGACACAAGAGACAGAAGAGACACAGUAGAGAAUGGACAGGGAAAGCCCUAAUCGUUGCUCUCUCAGUGGGAGAGGCUUAUCAUCUGGGGAGCCUCAACAACAUCAUGAUGCUGACAAGACAGGGAAGAGUCUCUCUAGAUCAGAACACCUCAAGAAACGCCAGCAGUACGUAUAGGGAAGAAACCUUACCACUGCUGUUCUGACUGUGGGAAGAGUUUUGCUAAACAGAAGGAAUUGAUAUUUCACCAGCGGAUUCACACCGGUGUGAAACCGUACCACUGCUCUCAGUGUGGGAAGGGUUUCUCUGCAUCUAAAACCUUAAAAUCUCAUCAGAGAAUUCAUACAGGGGAGAGCCCUUACCCCUGCUUUGAUUGUGGAAAAUACUUCAAUCAAUUAGGAGCCCAGAUUACACACCAAUGCAUACACACUGGAGAGAAGUCUUAUAGCUGUGAUCAGUGUGGGAAGAGUUUUGCUCACGAUUCUACCCUGACUGCAAACCAACACACACACAGGAGAGAAGCCUUACAGCUGUCAUCAGUGUGGGAAGAGCUUCAGUCAUUCAGGAGACCUGACGAAGUCUCUCACUGUUGCCGCUUGCUAUAGACCUCCCUCUGCCCCCAGCUGUGCCGUCGAUACCAUAUGUGAAUUGA